rfam:Glossina morsitans morsitans, isolate Yale, WGS project CCAG01000000 data, contig: ctg10002315
UAGUGCGGCUUAAUCGAAGAUCAUUGCACAGUGAUUCAAUUAUAUGUAAAUGGUUUAAAAAUAAGCCCAAAGCAAACUUUUUUUGCAACGACGGUCACUGCUCUACAAGAUUCAUUCUGCAUAAUAGCGCAGUAACUUUUACGUGCAAUUACAGUG